CAGCAGUAGCCGCGGUAAUACAGAGGGUGCGAGCGUUAAUCGGAUUUACUGGGCGUAAAGCGUGCGUAGGCGGCUUCUUAAGUCGGAUGUGAAAUCCCUGAGCUUAACUUAGGAAUUGCAUUCGAUACUGGGAAGCUAGAGUAUGGGAGAGGAUGGUAGAAUUCCAGGUGUAGCGGUGAAAUGCGUAGAGAUCUGGAGGAAUACCGAUGGCGAAGGCAGCCAUCUGGCCUAAUACUGACGCUGAGGUACGAAAGCAUGGGGAGCAAACAGGAUUAGAGACCCCUGUAGUCCCUGUCUCUUAUAC
rnacentral:rRNA from 1 species